GGCGCAUGGUGGCUUAGUGGUUAGCGUUUCGCCUCACACCACCAGGGUCGGGGGUUCGAUUCCCACCGUGGCCC